GCUACAGUAACGGGGAUGUAGCUCAGAUGGUAGAGCGCUCGCUUAGCAUGCGAGAGGUACGGGAUCGAUACCCGCAUCUCCAU
rnacentral:tRNA from 1 species